CUCCUCAGCCGUCCGGCCCGGGGAAGUACGUGUUUGACGGCUGUGAGCAGCACGGUGAAUACCGCCCCGCUGAGCAGGACCGAGCUGAAGGUGAGUGGGGGGAGUCGGUCUCGCCUGCCAUCCUCAAGUGGAUCCCCAAGUGUGUAACCGACUUGACGCUGUGGACAGGCACACACACCUCAUGUGCAGAAAAGGACAGGGCUUCAGCAGAGGCAGAGAACUGACAUGUCUGAUCAAUCCUCAAACAUAAAUAUACUAAUACAUUUGUAAAUUAGCCUUGUCUUUUUCUUUGAAGGUGUUUAGUAGAAGCAACACGAAACAUUUCCUUAUAUAAUGUGAUGCCCCUGUCUGCUAAUCUCCAAACAGCUUCAUAUGUCUGAAAUACAUAAAAAGCUACCAGACCUGGUAUAUUCACAGUGUUCCAUUUAAAAAAAGAAAAAGGUGAUAGAGGAAGUUAAUUAAAUAAAUCAAAUUAUUUGUAAACUAUUUACAAUUUAAAACAGGGUAAGAAUGUGUUUUCUGUUGUUUUGUUAGGAGGUUGCUGCUUGAAUGCUUUCAGACAAUUUUACUGUAUACUUUUUUUGUUAGGUUAGGUUCUGACAAAU